rnacentral:tRNA from 1 species
GCCCACUUUGCUCACUGGCUAGAGUGUUGGGCUGCAAACCAAAGGGUCGCAGGUCUAAUUCCUGGUCUUGGGCA